GUCUAUGGCCUUACCACCCUGAAUGCACUGGAUCUUGUCUGAUCUGCAAAGCUAAGCAGGAUUGGGCCUGGAUAGUACUUAGAUGGGAAAACGAUAUUUAACUCAGAGGUGAUCAGAGUAGACA
rnacentral:rRNA from 1 species